UACGGAGGGUGCGAGCGUUGUUCGGAAUUAUUGGGCGUAAAGCGCGUGUAGGCGGUUCUCUAAGUCUGAUGUGAAAGCCCCGGGCUCAACCUGGGAAGUGCAUUGGAAACUGGAGAACUUGAGUACGGGAGAGGGUAGUGGAAUUCCGAGUGUAGGGGUGAAAUCCGUAGAUAUUCGGAGGAACACCGGUGGCGAAGGCGGCUACCUGGACCGAUACUGACGCUGAGACGCGAAAGCGUGGGGAGCAAACAGGAUUAGAAACCCCCGUAGUCC
rnacentral:rRNA from 1 species